rnacentral:lncRNA from 1 species
AUGAGAAGAAGGGGUGAGGAGAGGCUAGGGGAAAGGAGGUGGGGAGAUGGAGAGUGCAGGGCAGGCCCUUGGUGGGGGAGGGUGUCUGCCGGUCGGGGGGAUCAAGGGGAUGUGGGCCCCCCACCAGCCGCCGGCAGUGAGCCCAGCCUUCCAGGCCCAGGCCCAACCCGCACCCUGCAGACACUCACGGAUCCUGGUGGGACGGAGGGCUGGGCUCCCUCGAGGCCCGAGGAUCGGAUCGACAAGGGGGAGAUGCUCCGGCGCUGGGCGGCGUGGCUGGGGCGGGGGGAGAGGGCAGUCCACAGGGCCCCCUCCCCCGCCUCUUGCGGUGGCCCCCAACUAAUCCCAAACAGGGGGCUCCCCGGGGGGGCAAGGAGGAAGGACAGGUGGAAGAGAAGAGGGCGGGCAGGGAGGGGAGGAAGGGGAAAGGAGAAAAUGGAGGAGGGAAGGGGAGAGAGGAGAGGGGAAGGAGGCAGGAAGGUGAAAACGCAAGGGAGGGGGCACAGGCAGAGCCGGGGGAGGGGGAAGCCGGCCCAGGCAAGGGCCCCCGCCCCCUCCCCUAGCCGGGCCGGCCUGGGGGGGCCACGGGGGGCGAGGCCUGGGUGGCGACAGGGAAGCCGGCCAUCAGGAGAGGUGGGGGAGGGGAGGGCUGGCUGGGGGGGGAGGGGGCCACCCCUUCCCCCCUCCCCCCUGGAGCCCGGGCCGGCCCUGGAUGAGGAGGCUGGGGCCUGGAGUCCUCAAGCCCUCAGCCCGCGCCGGGAAGGCAUGCUGGGGGCGGGGAGAGGCGGACGAGUGGCGGGGCCGGGGUGGAGGGGGUGUUGGGAGACCCCGAGAAGAGCCGCCGCCGACGAGCCGGGCCGGAGAGGUGGAGAGAUGGAGAAGAGGAGGGAGGGGAGGAUGGAGAGGAGCAGGUGGAAGAGGAAGGCGGAGGAGGGUGGGGUGUCCCGGGGCGCCCAGCGCAGGGCCUCGGCGGGAGGGCCUGGCCACGGACUCCUGGUCCCUUGCGAGGAGCAGCCGCCGGCUCCGGGCUCCCAGCUGGGCCUCCCUCCCCGCCGCCGCCGCCGCCGCCGCCGCCACUUCUCCCCUCCGAGGCCGCCGCCUGCCUGCCCGCCUGCCGCCCGCGCUGGGUCCUGGAGCGCAGGGGGGCGGGGGGAGAGAGGAGGGAGAGAGGGAGGGAGACAGGGAGGAGAGCGGGCAGGAGGAAGGGAGGGAGGCAGGCGGAGAUAG